GUACAAUUUUGGUAUUGUAUUAGUUCUGAUGCAUAACUGAAAACAAAAGAAAAAUGACCGAACAAAAACAUACCUACCUAAUGCAUUAGUUAAUGACACAAUAAUUUUUCAGGACUUUGAGUAUCAAACAUAUACAAUACAAGAUGGUAUUUCUAAGUGGAAAUAAUUACAUGGAAUUUAACCUCCUCCUGAAGUACUUUUACAAAAUUUUCUUAUUACGCAACAAUGAGGAACAAAUAUGGUAGGAAAACUCAAACUUGUAAUCUUCUCCGAGUGGCAUUCUUACUCUGGAUCAUGAUUUUCCAGCUUUUGUACACAUUAGACUUGAGGAAAAUCAGAACCUUCAGCACCAUUAACUUAUAUUCGUUACUUGUAUCAUUAUUUCAUAAGAUUUGC
rnacentral:misc_RNA from 1 species